rnacentral:rRNA from 1 species
UACGGAGGUGGCAAGCGUUGUUCGGAAUUACUGGGCGUAAAGGGCGCGUAGGCGGCAUGGCAAGUCAGAUGUGAAAGCCCCGGGCUUAACCUGGGAAUUGCAUCUGAAACUGUUGUGCUUGAGUUCUGGAGGGGGUAGUGGAAUUCCCAGUGUAGCGGUGAAAUGCGUAGAGAUCGGGAGGAACACCAGUGGCGAAGGCGGGUGACUGGACUGCAACUGACGCUGAGGCGCGAAAGUGUGGGGAGCAAACAGGAUUAGAUACCCGU